UUUUGGAAGAGAAAUUUAUUUGAAAUAUAUGAAGUUUUAUUGGAUUCAAGGUUCAUUACAAGGAAAACUAUGCCUUACAAAAAAAAAACAUCAUCUUUAUUACAAGAGGUUCAUAACAUGGAAGCAUUACACCAAAAAUUAAAAAAAAAAAAACACAUCCUAAAUGCCCUGGUUCUAAUCUUCAUGCAUAUAAGCCUUCAAAUACUCCAUAACCGAUGUCCAUCUUUAAUCAUUCUUCAAGUUCCAAGAGCCAAUCCUCAUGAUUAUUGCACCACUAUGACUUCUUUCUUUGACUUUAUAUCUUCAUCCAAAUUCAUAACUAUGCCAUCUCCAUGA